rnacentral:rRNA from 1 species
AGUGAACGCUGGCGGUAGGCCUAACACAUGCAAGUCGAACGGCAGCACAGUAAGAGCUUGCUCUUACGGGUGGCGAGUGGCGGACGAGUGAGGAAUACAUCGGAAUCUACUUUUUCGUGGGGGAUAACGUAGGGAAACUUACGCUAAUACCGCAUACGACCUACGGGUGAAAGCAGGGGAUCUUCGGACCUUGCGCGAUUGAAUGAGCCGAUGUCAGAUUAGCUAGUUGGCGGGGUAAAGGCCCACCAAGGCGACGAUCCGUAGCUGGUCUGAGAGGAUGAUCAGCCACACUGGAACUGAGACACGGUCCAGACUCCUACGGGAGGCAGCAGUGGGGAAUAUUGGACAAUGGGCGCAAGCCUGAUCCAGCCAUACCGCGUGGGUGAAGAAGGCCUUCGGGUUGUAAAGCCCUUUUGUUGGGAAAGAAAAGCAGCAGGUUAAUACCCCGCUGUUCUGACGGUACCCAAAGAAUAAGCACCGGCUAACUUCGUG